rnacentral:snoRNA from 1 species
ACGACCUUACUUGAACAGGAUCUGUUCUAUAGGCUCGUACCUCUGUUUCCUUGAUUUCUCAAGAGACAGGCCCUUAACCCUGGUUGAUGAAUCAUGACCGUGCGAUCAGAGCGUGAUUAACGGCUACGAUUGUCUUCGGAUGUUUCCGGUGCUGUAGAGGAUCGUUACUCGGCUCGGUUCUACCUUGCCGGGGUGGUCGCACGGCGGUCUGACAGGUC